AGUAAUUUGUACUUAAACAUAUGUCAAAUUUGACGAGCCAAAUCGAGGAAAAUAAUAGGAGUAAUUGCACAAGACGCAAUUUAGUUCAAGUUUUUUGAAACCCAGUAAUCAGUAAUGAGUGUUAUUGCUGUAAAAAAUGAAUUGAGUGCAUAGAAAAAUAUGGUAGUAGAGUUAGUUGAUCAGAAUUAAGUGGGAUUUCACGAAUUUGGAGGCUUCAGCUGGUGAAGAAUGUGUAGGGAAUGUGAGAUCAGGUGAAAUCAGUUUAGGUCGUUGGAAUUCAAGCAGAAAGGGCGGCAGACAGGUUGAUUCGCAAAGCCAAGGAGGAGCCAGAGAGAUAGAAGAGCUCGUGUUGUGACUCUUCUAAGGGUAUAUUUGUAUGUAUGAGUGGUGUGGCCUCUUGAUUUCCAUUUGGGGCUGUUAGGUUGGAGGGGAACUUGGAAUUUAAUUUGGGUAGAGCUAUUCUUCCAUCUUAAAGACAAGAGCGAUGUGCAUUCACAUUCGGGAGUGUUCAAGCACACGGGAUUAGCAAGACGGGCAAGGUGAGCUGCCGUAUGAAGAUGUUCUGCAUAAUCAUCUGUGCAGUGGUGAUCAAUGGUUACCUCCUGAAUCUUCUCUGAGGCAUCAAACAAGAAGAGUGAACUAAAAUAAAAUAUGGGAGAAGUUAAAGGUAUUACUGGGCAGUUUGAUAUCACUAUCCAUCUUCACCUAAUGAUGCUGUCGAUAUGAUUUGGCGGACUAUUAACCGCAAGAAAAUGCGCACACAGUUGGAUCCAAAUCGGCGAAUUAGGUAUUGCAGGUCACAAUUUCAAUAAUGUUUAGCUAGGAAGUCAUAGUUAAUGUUUUCGUUAUGCCAAUUUUUGCUGUCUGUAGAAUAUGCAAACUCAGUUUUAAGGGUAGGAUGAUAAAUAGAAAGACAUGUUGUUGAGACAUAAGAACUAUAUUUCUAUAUGUGAAAAUGAACCCCCAUACAUAUUUGAGCCAUGCUAGAAUCUAUAACAUAUGUUUGCUUCUUAAAAGCUGCUCGGUCGCAGCUAUGUAUACGAGGAAGAUGCAACAGCUAAACCAAUGAAACAAUUGUAGCUGAUUAAACCUACACUGAGAAGCAGCAAAAUUUCCUCACGGCUGCAUCAAGAUAGGCUUCAAGCAUUACUUUCUAACCCCAUAAUUUUCAGGUCAGGCUCUGUUAUGUAUAGGAUCCGAUCCUCCCCGUACCGUUCUUUUUUCUGAUUGGCUCGGAUCAAAAGUCAUUGCAGGUGAAGGCGCGGCGUUGAAUGGCCUCUCCCCUUCUUCUUCUAAGGCGAGAAGAAGCCUCCCUCCUCCUCCUCCUCCUGUUCCCCGUCUUAGAGCAAGACUGAUGCUUCUCGUUGCAGAAACAGUUUCCGGCUGGAUGGAGAGCAGCCCAACACAGAAGAAUACUAGAAGGGCGGCCCUGUAAGUCAAGCAGAACAUCUUUGCAGCAGAGAAAAACACAAGAUGUGAUAAGGUAAUAUCUUAGUAAAAGAGAGUGGAUGGAUUCUUUGCCUAAAAAUGAGGCUGCUUAUGUGUUUGGUUAAUCCCUUAUUUGUACUUGAGUGGGAUUAAUAAAGCAUAAAGUAGAAAGGGGAGAAGCCAGAUUCACCUCAAUCAUAAGCAAAAAUAAGGCUGUAUUAGAAGAUUUUGACAGGUUUGAACAAAAAGUUGGUUGGAAAAAGCAUCAACCUUGAGAAGCCAAGAAUCUUUAGCAUUGGUUCCCAUACACCCUAUUCCUUUCCUUCCUCUUUAGACCAUCAUUCAAACCCAUCAACUGUCCAAACCCUUAUUGGAUUUAACUAGGGGUGGAUGCACACAUUUUUGCAUAAGUCUCUACUGCUUUUUCUCAUCCAAUGAACGAAAACCUUCAAAUGAGACAAGUGAAUACCUUUUGUUGGAGUUGGAAUCACACUUAGUAUUACAAAUCAUUAGAAAAUGACAUAUUUCAUCAUGGCACUUUCAAAAAUAGAGGCUUGCUUAGCUAGCCAAACUUGAGAAUAGUGAGUCUGCAUAAAGCUAGAUAAAGUAGAAUAAAUGGUGUUAGUACAGAGUAAAAUCACUCACACAAAUUUACCAAGCAUUAUUUUGCUUUUUUUUGCUAAACUCUUACCUUUAGAAGCCCCUCCUCUUUGUUUCUUGUGCUUAAUGGAUUUCCUUUAUGCUUUUCUUUACUUCAUUCUUUAGAUUGUGUGCAGCACUUAGAUAAAUCCUCAUUCAUUCAAACUUGUAAUAGCCUUUCAAAUCCACUCCUAUUUCUUUCCGUUUCUUUUAAUUUUUUGGGGGAUGGAAAAAAGAUAGAAAUUUCACAAAUCCAAGACUUUCUUUUUCUUUUCUUA